AACGCGAAGAACCUUACCUGGUCUUGACAUCCACGGAAGUUUUCAGAGAUGAGAAUGUGCCUUCGGGAACCGUGAGACAGGUGCUGCAUGGCUGUCGUCAGCUCGUGUUGUGAAAUGUUGGGUUAAGUCCCGCAACGAGCGCAACCCUUAUCCUUUGUUGCCAGCGGUCCGGCCGGGAACUCAAAGGAGACUGCCAGUGAUAAACUGGAGGAAGGUGGGGAUGACGUCAAGUCAUCAUGGCCCUUACGACCAGGGCUACACACGUGCUACAAUGGCGCAUACAAAGAGAAGCGACCUCGCGAGAGCAAGCGGACCUCAUAAGUGCGUCGUAGUCCGGAUUGGAGUCUGCAACUCGACUCCAUGAAGUCGGAAUCGCUAGUAAUCGUGGAUCAGAAUGCCACGGUGAAUACGUUCCCGGGCCUUGUACACACCG
rnacentral:rRNA from 1 species